rnacentral:misc_RNA from 1 species
GUGAAUCAUCAAAUUUUUGAACGCAAAUUGCGCUUCCUGGUAUCCCGGGAAGUAUGCCUGUUUGAGGGUCAGUAUUAACAAAAAAUCGGUUUGGUUGCAAAUUGUGACGUUUCCGGAGUUUGGGCUUAUCUUAACUUUUUUGGUUAAGGGGCUUAAAAUUGACCUUUUUUCGCAUUUUUUAAACGUACAUAAUUUUUUUUUUUUUCUUUUAUUCUUAUUCCAAAAUUCUAAUUAAUUCCAUUC